rnacentral:rRNA from 1 species
UAACGAAUCUUCCGCAAUGGGCGCAAGCCUGACGGAGCAAUACCGCGUGUGGGAUGAAGCUUCUACGAAGUGUAAACCACUGUCAGGGUCUAGUACCACCGAACAGACCCAGAGGAAGGACCGGCUAAUUCCGUGCCAGCAGCCGCGGUAAUACGGAAGGUCCAAGCGUUAAUCGGAAUCACUGGGCUUAAAGCGUACGCAGGCGGAUCGGCAGGCAUCCUGUGAAAUCCCACGGCUCAACCGUGGAACUGCAGGGUGAACCGCCGAUCUCGAGGCAGGUAGGGGUGAGUGGAACUAUGGGUGGAGCGGUGAAAUGCGUAGAUAUCCAUGGGAACGCCAAUGGCGAAGGCAACUCACUGGGCCUGUCCUGACGCUCAGGUACGAAAGCGUGGGGAGCGAACGGGAUUAGAUACCCCCGUAGUCC